UGAGUUGGAUCGUGAUGUUCGGUUGGCGAGCUUCAGAGAAGGUCACGUGAUUUCCGGUAAGGGAACAUAGGGACCAUCGAUGCUCACUGGUUUUUGCGUUGCAUUGUGGGAAUUUUUAGGGAACGAACGUUCCAGUGCACUAAACGGAUUUUGCGAUUGAGACAGCCCUUAAAAUGGCUGACUCCCUGAUCAGUGCCCUGACUACUGAACAAGGGAGCUGAUUGAGACACACGGAUAGAUAAAAACAGCUUUCUGGCAACAGGUGGUGUGCUUUAGUUAAUAUAUUUAAAAGGUUCAUAUCUAAUGCAUUUUGACAUUCCUUAUAUUUAUAUUUAUGUAAGAGUUAUACUUUUAUUUUAGUGAGAGGGUUAUGUUUGUGUUUAAGCAGACAUUGCAAGCAGGCUAAGCACUUAUCGCUUGACAUGGCUGGAGUCAAUACUACCUCACCAAAAUUACAACUAAUGUUUGGCUUAAAUCUUGCCUAAUCGCAGUGUUUUUCCCUUUUAUUAUUUCUCUUUUUGUAGGCCCAUCAGAGUGAUUUCCUGAGCUCUUUCGCAUAUGCUGUAUGGUAAGAGUGAAUUUCUGCCAGUUGAUACCGGUGACAGGUGUUAAUUAUUAAUUUCAUCUUUGUAUUUUUUUAUUAAAGGUCAGAGAAUGGAUGGAUUAUCCAGUCACGGUACAUAAUGAAAGACUUGACUGAGUUAGAAGAAGCUGAGCAACUCUUCAGAGUGAAGAUGUUAUGAUGCAGUUAUGUCAAAGUACUCGUUUUGGCUGGCCAGAUUGGAACAGACCUGAAUGGGAAGAUGGCAGAGCCAAGACUGGCAAUGUCCAGGAAAAAUGUUAACUAAAAAUGAGUGUGUUUUUCCCCAGCGAGUGAGUUUGGGAAUGUUUUAAAUGUGCCUAGAAGUUUGAAAAUGUAAUACUGAGGGAAAAAAGUGAGCGCUUUGAAAAGGCUUUAAAAAGAAAAUAAAGUCUGAAGUUGAUGUUAAAUGAAGUUAAAGUUUUUACUUGAAAAGUUUGUACUUGUUUGUACUUGUCAAGUCUGUGCUGAAAAAAUUAAAGUUUGUAUU